UGCUCUGUAUUUGGAAUAUAGCUUGCCAAUCCACAGUCUGAAAGAUGAGGAUUAAGCUCUGCAUCAAGUAAUAUAUUGGCUGAUUUAAUAUUCUUAUGCACAACUGAUGGAGAACAAACUUCAUGCAGGUACUCUAAAGUGCGUGCAGUUCCCAAAGCUAUCUUGACACGGGAAUUCCAUAUCAACGGUUUACUGAAUUCAUCAGACACGUGAAGGAAGUCAUGCAGUUCAGCAGCAGGUUCAAUGACUGGACUGGUUCAACAUAUCUGCUUCUGCCUUCAUUUACAAAAUAUGUAUGUUUGCCCUCUUCAUCUGUAUUUGAGACAACUUGUAAGCAUGACUGAAUACUUGAAGAAAUAUAAUCAAGUGAUUCUUUGACAACUGCUGCUGAUUCUGCCUUGUUGAUGGAAAAUUCAUCAAUGCCUUCACGAAGUAUGCACAGAAUGGACUCAAAUUGGUUUCAAAUGAAUAAUAAAAAUGGAUAUGGGUUUAUUGAUGCUGCAGUGUGCUGUAUUAAGACCUGGUUCAGGGAAGACUAAGGCCAAGAUUUGAUGAGCCAACAUGUCAAACUAGGCAUGCUAUGCAUGAGGUAGAAACAAGGCCAUUUACUUGGAAAUGAAGCAACCAAAAGAUAACACAACCAAACGUGGAAAUUGGAUGAAGAAUCAGAGAAAAAGGCUAGAUUAGGUUUUGGAUGAUAAAAAAAAAUGGGGAGGUUGACUUUGGUCAAAGUUGACUAAAAAGUCAACUGUUGGCCAAAGUCAACAAUUAGUCAAAAUUUAUAUUUUUUUUGUUUUUCUUGUAAACAGACAAUGGAUUGAUGAUUAGGGUGAAGUUUAGGGUUUAAAGAAUUUGG